UACAGAGGGUGCGAGCGUUAAUCGGAAUUACUGGGCGUAAAGCGUGCGCAGGCGGUUUUGUAAGCCAGAUGUGAAAGCCCCGGGCUUAACCUGGGAAUGGCAUUUGGGACUGCAAGGCUAGAGUGCGGGAGAGGAGAGUGGAAUUCCUGGUGUAGCGGUGAAAUGCGCAGAUAUCAGGAAGAACACCCGUGGCGAAGGCGGCUCUCUGGAACGCAACUGACGCUGAGACGCGAAAGCGUGGGGAGCAAACAGG
rnacentral:rRNA from 1 species